AGAGUUUGAUUAUGGCUCAGGACGAACGCUGGCGGCGUGCUUAACACAUGCAAGUCGAACGGUGAACCGGGCUUCGGCCUGGGGAUCAGUGGCGAACGGGUGCGUAACACGUGGGCAACCUGCCUCAGACACUGGGAUAACCCCGGGAAACCGGGGCUAAUACCGGAUACUCCGACCGGACUGCAUGAUCCGGCCGGGAAAGCUCCGACGGUCUGAGAUGGGCCCGCGGCCUAUCAGCUUGUUGGUGGGGUAACGGCCCACCAAGGCGACGACGGGUAACUGGUCUGAGAGGACGACCAGCCACACUGGAACUGAGACACGGUCCAGACUCCUACGGGAGGCAGCAGUGGGGAAUCUUGCGCAAUGGGCGAAAGCCUGACGCAGCGACGCCGCGUGGGGGAUGAAGGCCCUCGGGUUGUAAACCCCCUUCGGCAGGGACGAAGCGAACGUGACGGUACCUGCAGAAGAAGUCCCGGCUAACUACGUGCCAGCAGCCGCGGUAAGACGUAGGGGACGAGCGUUGUCCGGAUUCAUUGGGCGUAAAGAGCGCGUAGGCGGCUGCGCAAGUCGGAUGUGAAAAUCCGGGGCUCAACCCCGGACCUGCAUCCGAUACUGCGCGGCUAGAGGUAGGUAGGGGAGAUCGGAAUUCCUGGUGUAGCGGUGAAAUGCGCAGAUAUCAGGAGGAACACCGGUGGCGAAGGCGGAUCUCUGGGCCUUACCUGACGCUCAGGCGCGAAAGCUAGGGGAGCGAACAGGAUUAGAUACCCUGGUAGUCCUAGCCGUAAACGUUGGGUGCUAGGUGUGGGUGGACAUCGACCCCAUCCGUGCCGAAGCUAACGCAUUAAGCACCCCGCCUGGGGAGUACGGCCGCAAGGCUAAAACUCAAAUGAAUUGACGGGG
rnacentral:rRNA from 1 species